rnacentral:rRNA from 1 species
CCUACGGGGGGCAGCAGUAGGGAAUUUUGCGCAAUGGGUGAAAGCCUGACGCAGCAACGCCGCGUGAUCGAGAUGCCCUUCGGGGUGUAAAGAUCUAUCAGCAGGGAAGAAAAUGACGGUACCUGACUAAGAAGCCCCGGCUAACUACGUGCCAGCAGCCGCGGUAAUACGUAGGGGGCAAGCGUUAUCCGGAUUUACUGGGUGUAAAGGGAGCGUAGGCGGUUUAGCAAGUCAGAAGUGAAAGCCCGGGGCUCAACUCCGGGACUGCUUUUGAAACUGUUGAACUAGAUUGCAGGAGAGGUAAGCGGAAUUCGUAGUGUAGCGGUGAAAUGCGUAGAUAUUAGGAGGAACACCAGUGGCGAAGGCGGCUUACUGGACUGUAAAUGACGCUGAGGCUCGAAAGCGUGGGGAGCAAACAGGAUUAGAUACCCCUGUAGUC